CCUACAGUCAUUCUUCCACACAUAAAGGGAAAACGGACUCACUAGGAGGACCUAGACUCUUUCAGCUUGAACUGUUAACCAAUGGUGGAAAUGCAAGAAUGCUGAAGUUGUGCCUUCAGAGCCAAUAGAGUGGAUUUGUGUGUCCCACAUGACUGUGUUUCCCCUGUCUUUCACAUGGGCAGUAUUUAGUUCAAUUCAGAACUGCAGAUAGUAUAGCACGCAGAGCAGCAAUGGGAUGUCUGAGCACAAGUGGCUGACUUCCAGGCGACUUCAAGAAGCACAUUUGCACAUUUAUCCUGAAUUAAACUGGAAUUCUGCACCCUUGACAUCCUCCUACUCUCCUGGUGUCUGCGGAAGGAAACAGCGACCUGCACAGCACAACAAAACUCCCCCUGCAAAAGUUAGAUCCUGAGAACUACAUUCAGAGGGGAAAAAGCAAAGACAAUAGAAAUCUGACUCGGUCCUGGCUGGGCUGGAUCUCCAAUAAAGCAUCAAGUGAAAACAGUUCCUAAGUGAAAGAGGAGCAGACUUCUUUUUAAAAAAAAUUAAGUGCAAUAAGGAAAAAUUGUUGAAAGACUCCAGACGCUACUAAUUAUGGCUUAAAUAAAUCUUCCUGGACAGAUGUUUGCUUGCUCCCACUGCGGGGAAAGGAACGUUAAAAGAAGCGUUUUUCAAGAAAAAAAAAAAAAAAAAAAAAAAAAAAAGAGGAUCUCGAGGUGAAUUUUCAACAUACAAUUUUUUUUUAAAAUACACCAUAUUAUUCUUUGUCUGCCCUCCUAUCUCCCCUCCCCCACCGCCGCCCACCGCGCAGACACCUGAAGGCUAGACAUAAUGAUCAACAGAGCUGCGCUGCCUCGCUGGAGCCCAGCCAGGUUUUUUUCCCCUCCACAAUCGAGGAGCCUGCACGCAACGCACGGCGAGCCUGCUGCUCUGCUAUGUGCGCGUCAGGAGGAGUCUGAGACGGGCCGCAGGGAGAUUCAAGGCAAACACAGCCCUUUUCUCCUUAUGUUAACCUCGUUCAGUUCUGACUUCACUGUAAUUCUCAAAUAAAAGAAGUAACUCCGUAAAUACAUUCACAUGCUAUUGUACAAAACACGUGCUUAUGUGAGCACACAUUCCGCUCAGCACAGCUACAGCCCCCACUAGUUCUGAUUUUAUGGUGGUUUCUACUCCAGCCUUAUAGUCACUGCAGUGUUUUACGCUAAGUUUAUGCAUUACUUGCACAAUUACCAUGCAGCUCUUGUCUAUCACGUUAAGAUAUUCUGUACAUAUACAACACCCCGGAUAAAGGUAAAUAGCGUAGAGCCCUAUAUCUGAAAGGCGGUCAUACUGAAACACUUUAGCAUUUGCUUUCAGAGAGAUUACAGGAUCUCCUAGACCAUUUUGUGGCAGUUUUCUACCCAGCAGCAGUCGGAGGCUUUACGGGCAGGCUUGUCUGCAGAUGGAGGGAGGGAAGCAUGGCCGGGGCUGCUCUGGUCAUUGACCCCGCAGUCAGCCCGGCCCUGCCGCAGCCCUGCCACUGCCGGCUGGCCCAGGGCCACCGCGUAAGAGCUGGGCUUGGGCACGCAGUGCUCCCAGAAUAGUCGCCCUCUGUCUGGUGUGGCUAUGGGUGGGGUUAGCAGACACCCAGGGGCAAGGCAGACUCAAAGCAGUUUUUGCCAUUUCGUUUUUAAAUUUAUGCUGUGUGGACCUAUUUUCUACAAGUUCUUUGGAAUUGCGUCGCCUUCUGGUACAAAUUAUGGUAUGGUACAAAUGGUGAUUAUUUUUUGCUUUUCAAUAUGGACUUUGUGUGAACAAAACUGAAAAUAUGUCUUUAUACACGUGUGCUUCUAAUUUACUCCCUGGACAGACUUAAACUAUAGUUUAGCCACCCUAACAAGUAUCUUACUAGAAAGAUAAGACUCAGAGUCUUUUUAGGCAUUUUCUUUAAUACUGCUAAUAGACGCAAAUAACAAAGGGACCCAAUAUUGAUAGGCCAGAUAUUGAAAUCUUUACAAAAACUUACUUAGCAACAGAGGUGUACAAACAAAAGGGUGCAUCUAGAGACAACACUAUUCCACAGGCAAGGUAAAAUUCCAGAAAAGAGAUUUCAAAAAAAGAAAGAAAACGAAUUGAGAGCUACAGUCACAUUUGUAUUGCUGUAUUUUAAAAAAAAAAAAAACAAGGAAAUAAACACCUGAUUGAUGGAACAUUUUACAUCCCUUGUAUGUAAUAUCAGUAGCUGAUUCAACACAAUGGUUAUGUAAGGAUAUGCUUAAAAACUGCGUGUCUAUAUACAUGAGUUCGGUAGUAUUAAUAUGCUGCUUUCCUCUCUACUUUUUUUUUUUUUCUAUUUUUUUCUGGCAUGUUAUGCUUCAAAAAGAAAAUUUGUCACGUUUUACAAAUGUAUUUCAGAAUAAUGACUGCAGCUACAUUUUGAAGUGCUGACUUUUAUUUUCUUAAGUGGUAAUGACAAUAAGCAAUCAUAUUUUUAUCCAUUUCCUAAGGGCUGAAAUCCAACACAAAUCAAUUCCUAGAAACUUCAGAAGAUUUAUAUACUACUUUGUAUUUGAAUGAAUAUUUCAACUGGCAAUGUUUGUAUUGUAUGUCAGUGCAAAACUAAUGGCUAAUGACAUAAAAGUUGAGCAUUAAACCUGAGCGUAUGAAUGCAGGACCCUUAAAUCCAUAUUUACUGCAUAGUCUUCACUUCUCCUAGUAAGGCCUCCUGUUGUUGUUGGUUUUGUUUUUGUUUUGUUUUUGUCAAUGCUUCGUGUUCAAGAACUCUUGCUAACUAAGUAGGAUUUGUUACUCCUACCUACUUUUGUCAAAUAUGGCAUUAGCCUCCAGCUGCUGUUGCCCAAGUACCAGACAUUUGGAGAUAUGUGAUUUAGCUUUUUACACAAAGAGUUUAUUUUUUUUAAAUAAGAAAAUUCUUACCUCUAUUUUUUCCUAAUUUCUUGAAACUUUUAAAUAGCUGCUGAUGCUGAAAACAAAGCAACUGAGGAAGCUCAUGCAUAUUUAUGACUCUGUUCCUUAAAAGUUUGAUGUCUAUCACAUCUCAUACCUUAGUCUAUGGCCUUCAAGUGGUUGUACAAACUCCACGGUGCUACUCACAGAAACUUCUAAUUUCUCACAGAAAGUUCUAAUUUCUAAUUCAAGUCCUCCCUACCCUUCUCCUCCCCUCCUGCUUCCUCUGUUGCAUCUGCUUGUCUGAGCCUUUUCUUGUUCUAGCAGAAGUGGAAGUUUUCGUCAUAACAAUAAAGUGCUCAGGAUUACUUCCAAAACUUUCAAAAGAUGGACUGUUUCACAUAUACCUUUACAUAGCAGAAGUAACUUGAGAGUCUACCAGAAACACAGUCUCAGCAAGGUAAUGGGGUCAAAUGAGCUCAUGCAUUACAGAUAGGAAGAGGAUUGCACAUUGCAUUUUUAUAGAUAAAAAACACAGAGUGGUAUAAUGUAAACAGAUUUCUGUUUGAUAUUUUGUCAGACUGUUGUAAAGAUCAAACUAUGGCUGAGCCAAAAUGACUUUCAGCAUGGUACAGUUAGACCAGAUGGCCACGUGUUCUUUUCUUAUUUAGAUGAGACUUUUCCUUUCAAUAACAUCUUUCUUCCUGACCUGCUUAAAAAUUCCAGCGAAUGAAAUCAGCACAGGAUUUUCAAUUCUAAUUGACCAUGUGCAGAGGAAGGGCCAGUAGAGAAAUCAGUAGAGCCAUUGUAAGGCACACUGCAUCAAUCUCUCCUUUGUCUUGAACCUUUUCUAGCAUGAGCUAAAAUAAUUAAGAAUAUUUAAUUUAUAUUAUUUAUACAGCAGCAAAUCUAGUUGCAUUCAGGCAAAAAUCAUUAUAAAUUCUUCUCUUAUGAAUGUGUGCAACAAGGAAUGCCUAUCACACACCAGACAAACAGGUACUCAGCAUCAUUUCAUUGUGAAAUAGUCAAGAGAAAUAAAAGCCCUCAAGCAAAGAGCGAAUAAAAAAGGAAAGGUGUGGGUGAAUUAAGGCAUGAUGAGCUGCUUUCCCCUUUCUAACGAGGUCAGAAAAGGUAAAGGAGAUGGUAAUUAAAUAAAAAGAAAAUACAUUAAAAAAUAUAGAAAAUAUGUUUUUCAUUAUCCAAAGUGCCCACCCUUAAAACAUCUGAAAUCUUCAAUUGCUAUUAGUUUGCUUAUACAGAUUUUGUACAAACACCUCACCCACAAUAAGUGGGUUGUAGAUCAUGGUCUCACUUCUGUCUGAGAGCUGCAUGCAAAGUACAGCCUGUAAAUACUGUACGUAUCACGCAUGAGCAUUAUCAAUAGAAAUAUGCACACAGAUUGUAUCACAACAGUCUUACCUACUAUUUUAUUGGGAUUUAAUGAGCUAUCAUCUGUAGAUUAAUAAUCUACAGAUGAUAAUUAUUAUUAAUCUACAGAUGAUAAUCAUUGAGCUUUAGCAAGUAGAGUAUGCUAAAGAUACACAAGGCCCUACAUAUAUGUUUAUGUAAUCCACAGAUAAUGUAAGUGGGUAGAAAGAAGGUUUCCUACUUCAGAAGGAAAGAAAAAGAGGGUAUCAGUUGAAAGUACAGAACAAAGUUUUCUUUAUCCUCACAAGCAUAAAGUUUGGCAACAGUUUUGUUGUUACUAUACAACUCUAGAUAAAUUCACUCAACUAUUCCCAGUUUAGUUUAAUAUUAUGCUUGAGCAGUUAAGGUUUUUAAAUUAUAACUGUAAGCUUGAACCAAAAAACUACCAAACAGUUCUGGAAAAUAAUUUAGGUAAGAUAUCCUCGUGUUCCUCAGUUAAACUGUUUUUUAUUAAAGUUCCAACCGUUUCCAAAUGUAAAGUACCAAAAAAAAGAAAAAAAAAAAAAGAUUAAUAAAUGCAGUGGGCAACAUGGCCUUUAGUGUACAUCAAGCAUGCAGUUCAAGUAACAUGUGCGUGAAGAAACAUGCCUGAGAACAUAAAACAAAGCACAGACUUUGGGAUUGGCCAGGCAGAUGCAGUAAAAGGUCUGGUUUCAGCUCUCCAGCAAUAUGCUUUGUAGCCUUGGGCAAAUCAUUUAACAACAGUCUUGUUUCUCAUCUACGUCAUAUUACUAGAACUCAAAUUUUGAAUACAUGAUUAUUGUUGUGAGGUUGGUAUUGAGGUACCACAGCAAAGGGUCCCAAAGACAACCUUAGAUGCUCGGAAAACAUAUAAAACUCCAGACAGAACAAUAGUCUUUUUUCUCUUUCUUUUUUUCUGCAUGUGCACAUACACAUGUGCGUUAAAUGAAAUCAUUUUUGCUGUCUUAUUUCUAUAGCUAUAGAUAAAGGUGUGUCUCAAGAGGUUCGCAGAGUUCAAGCUUAGUUUUCACAUACUUAAAUAUAGAAUUUUAGUUUUUCAGUAGCCAACAAAAGGUCAGAAUACAGGAUAAACACAAAUUACUAAUCCAUCUGCAGUGAUGCUCUGUGUUCACCAUAAAGCACUGACAUACAAGGCCCAAAUCUAAAAUGCUGACUCUUGUAGAGUAACGGUUUGUUUAACAGUCCCAUGAUACAGUGAUGCUAUAAAUUCAGGUCAAAUCGCUGCACUGCAUGUGGAUCAGUACCAAACCUGAGGCCCAAAUAUUUUCAGCCAGUAUUUACACACUAAAGCCCUGAUCAUGUAAUGGCAUUGAGCGUAUUCUUACUAUUAAAGUAAGAAAGACAUCUAGUGAACCACUUCAAUGCUCAAAGUUCAACCUAUGCUUUACACAUGGUGUCAAAGUAUGCCUUUAAUUUCUACAGGACCAUUUGCAUUUACAGUGAAAAGUAAAUACCCUUGGCUGGUUGUAGUUAAAUCAUAUUCCCAAUUUCACCUUUCUAUUUGUAUUCACAAUCUAAUGCCAGCACUAAACAGACAGCUUUAUAAACCCUUGGGCAGUGAUUCUAAAGUCACUGCACAGGGGCAGAAAUCAGUGGGCCUGAAGUUGGUCAUAAGCUUUCACAGAUUUUCUCCAGCCACCAUUUUGUGAUUAACUGAGAUUACAGUGUAACACACAUGGAAAUGAAAAAUCUUUCCUCCACAAGCAAAUAUGGAUCUCCAUGCAACAGAGAAAACAUCAUUUUCUGCUGAAGGUUUGGAUUCAUUUUCAUACACAGUAUGAAAGAAAUAGACUUUCAACUGCCUUUUGUCGCUGCUGUUCAAGAGCUGCAAGAACUCAACAAAAUGGCAGCAUGGCACAUCUGCGGGGUGGUUUGCAGAGAGGGCGGGGAGGACUGGGCAGGAAGGAAAUAUCCUGUGUGGAAGCACCGCCUGGCACAGCGCAUAGUGAGGGGAAGUCAGUAAAAUGUGCGUAGUUAUGUGCAAUUGAUGGGCUAUUUCAUCAUCCUGUUUGUACUGUCCAGGCUCCCGACUAUAUUAGCAGUCCAUCCAGUCCCUUAAGCCUUGGGAUGUGGAUAAUGGGAUUGGACAAAAUGAUUAAAAUCAGUUUGGUCUCGUGAUUCCAGCUAGUAAGCGUAAUAGAUGCAAAACUGAAAGACGUUAUUGUAUGAUAAAAAUACAAGCCCUUCUUUGUGUUUUACCUCUAUGCUUCUUCCAGUUUUAAGAAAUAUUUUGUGAGGACUUCUUUGUUGGAUUAAAAAAGCAACAAUAGCAAGCAACAUGAUUAUUUUCUUGCAACAUCUCAAUUGACACUAGUUUCGUCUUUCCAAAUAACUAAGGUCAGAGGAAGUUGCAAAAACAAGUAUUAUUCUACAUAUUUUAUGUAAAGACUCUGCUUCAGAAGAUACUGAAAAAGGACACAUUUAAGUUGUUCACAGCUUGAGAACUGCCUUAAAAAAACAACACAGAAUGUCUUAUGCCUAUAUUGAGUUUGUGCUUCUGUUUUCAAGGAUAAUUUUUAGUUCAUUUGCAACCAUUUUUAAAACAGAUAAUUUGCAAAACAUGAUUUUAAAGGAUGAGAAAUCUAGCGAAUCACAACAGCGAAGGAGAAGGGCAUUUCCCAAGAUUUAUUAAAAGACACAGAAAGAGUUAAAAUUUCAGAUCUUUAUGUAAGAAUUAAAAAUGAGAGUUAAAAAGGGGGAGGGGACCGGGGGGAAGAACUAAGCUGCUGGUGACUUGAGUGUAUUUAUGGAUUACUAUGUCCUGAAAAGAAGAGAACCAGAGUUGUAAGAUGACACUGCAGGGGUUGUCUGGACUUUUCACCGAGUGUAAAGUCUGUUUAGUCAGUGUCUUAAUGCCUAAUGCUGACCUUUGCCCUCUUCACUCCUCCCUGCUCCAGGUGCAACAUUUUUGCAAGUGCUUUAGCAUUAUUGGAAAGUUUGUGCAGGUUUCACAUGCUGCAAAGUGCAGAGUGUUUUACGCAACACCAUUCAUUACACACAUGCACACACGCAAUAUCAAGGCUUAGAUUUUGUUUUGGUUUUUUUUUUUUUUGAUCCCAAGUACACACAAUGAUUUUAUGCAUUUUCUGCUAUUAGUUACUACCGUGCUAAAUUAAUAAAAACAAAAGCUUGUUUGAAAGGGUAUACCAUUUGCAUAAUUCUAUUUAACAAGAUACAAGAUUAAGAUAAAGCAUUGUUGCAUGUUCCCCAGAACUGUGAAUUAUAGAGCAGGAGCAAGCAAUGUAUGCUGGCAACCCUAUUGAUCUCUUAAAUUAAUUCUCUUUGCUAUGGAAAUAGGAGAGAGAACCAGAACCCACCGCCACUAAACAGACAAGGUACUUCUGAUGAUUUUCCUCCAAAAUAUACUGAUUUCUUGUACAGAAAUCGUAACAUUAAUGUCUAUCUGUAAAUAUACAUCAUGUCUGAACAGAAAUUUUAAAGAAAAACUCAAGUCUUACAGUCUAAUGAUAAAAAAAGCUAAAUUACAUGAAGUCUGUAUAAUUUUACACUUUGAUUUACAAAAACAAGGUAUAUAGAAAUAUGUAGAUUAAAUAGAAGAUGCUGUGUAUUCUGCAGUUGUCAGUGAUGCAUAUAAUGUAAAAGACAGCACAUGCAUGUGCAUUAUUCACCUACGUUUUAUAUUUAGUAGUUGGUUGCUAAGAUUUCUGAGGACUUGCAAUUGAACUUUGCUGCAGAAAGCAUAAGCCAGAUACCACCACCUUCAAGACUGCUAGAGGUUUUUUCCACAUUUGUAGAACUGGUGCCUUCUUGAAAUGUGGACUGACUUUAAGAUCCCUGGCUUCUUCGCCUUAUGAUACCACUUAACUAAAAUGCACCCCAUGUAACUACAGCGUAAAUUUUACCGGAAACACAAGACUCCAGUACAGGAUUCCUGCAUUUUGCGAACUAUACCAGCUAACUAUGCCUGGGAAAAAAAGUGAUAUUAUGAUUUAGACAUUUAAAGCUUUAAAUAACCAACUUACUCUGCAUUCUUUCUUCUCUGAGCUAUGCUGCAAAAUGUUCAUCAAGGCGGAGGAAAAGUAAAGAAGGAAAAAAAUUGACUUGAAAGAGUUGAAUGGCAGCAGGUCGUCUUACUUCAUCAGAACUGUUGUUAUGGCUCAUAUAGGCUAGACAUCUAUUCUAGGUACAGUGUUACCUUGAGGUGAUAAUUGCACAAAAAGAGGUCUGAUGAGGGUUUACAUUUAUGGAACUUUCUUGAGAGGUGUGCAUGGGGUCGGUACUAGAACAUUAUACUUGGACUCCAGACAUGAAGAGCAGCCUGAUUUUCCUAUGACUUCUAUAUGUGAGUUAAUUUAGGCAAUCUUCAUUUGCUAUAUAGUCUUAAGGGUAUUGGCUUUGGGGUUUGCUAGGUUGUUUUUUUUUUCUGCAUGCUUUUUGUUUAAAAACAAACACAAAACAAAAAUAGCCUCUACUUCAUAAUUUUACUAUAGUAAUUUAUUCUAGGAUUAGGCACAAGCCAAGGGAUCAAAAAUUCUGGGAAACAUCCCAGAACAGUUUUGUUAUGUUCCCUGACUUCAUUUCUAACAUUUGUACUACAAAAGAACCAAGAAAAAAAAAAAAAAAAAAAAAGGAAAAGUUGUUUAUUGCAUGUCAGGUUCUUCCUAGAGCUGGACAGCAUUAUCUCAGCACAAAAACUGCUCCUGUUCACAGUGCAGCUGCUAACAACUCAUCAGCACUCCUUGUUUAAGAGUAGGUUACAAUUAGAAGUCAAAACUGUAAAGCAAUCUGAAAUGUCGUUAUUCUAGUAAACUAUGCAACUGGACUUGAUUACUAGCCAGACUGUAUCCCUUUGCUUCUAACACUGUAUACAAGACACAUAUUUAGUGCAGGUGGUACUCUCCUUAAUUUCACUGAAGGUCAAGUGUACUUGUCAUAAUUGUAUUUUUUGCACAGCUGAGAAUUCAACUACUUCUGUAGACUGAAAACAGACAUUGUUUCUGUGAAAGAAACAGCACUGAAGGGUUAGUCUUGAUAUAAAUAGAAUGAAGUGAUUUUUCACACUUUUUUCUCCUACUAUCUCAUCGAGAUCACUUAGAUCUGAGGUUGGUCUGUGUCAGUGGAAAGAGACAUUCAGGUACUAACAGUUAAAGAAUUAUGAAGUUCACUAUCUGGAAAAAGCGGUUACAACUGUCUUGCUUUAGGUGGCUGCUGUGAAUCUUUCUCAAGACUGCAACCAGAAAUGAAGUUUGUAAGUUUGUAAAUGAUUAAUCUUACAAUGACUAGCAAGUAUAAAAUCUAAUAGAACUUCAGAGUUAGUCACCUUUCCAUUUUAACUACAGAAAAAAAAACUUUGGCAACCCUGCCUAUGGGCAGGGGGGCUGGAACCAGAUGAUUUUAA
ensembl:lncRNA